rnacentral:rRNA from 1 species
UACGAAGGGGGCUAGCGUUGUUCGGAUUUACUGGGCGUAAAGCGCACGUAGGCGGCUCGAUCAGUCAGGGGUGAAAUCCCAGAGCUCAACUCUGGAACUGCCUUUGAUACUGUCGAUCUGGAGUAUGGAAGAGGUGAGUGGAAUUCCGAGUGUAGAGGUGAAAUUCGUAGAUAUUCGGAGGAACACCAGUGGCGAAGGCGGCUCACUGGUCCAUAACUGACGCUGAGGCGCGAAAGCUAGGGGAGCAAACAGG